rnacentral:miRNA from 1 species
UCAGUGGCAGAAGCUGGGAACU